rnacentral:rRNA from 1 species
UUUCGCAAUGCCCGAAAGGGUGACGAAGCGACGCCGCGUGCGGGAGGAAGGCCUUCGGGUUGUAAACCGCUGUCGGGAGUUAAGAAAUGCAAGAAUGUUAAUAGCGUUCUUGCUUGACUAAGGCUCCGGAGGAAGCCACGGCUAACUCUGUGCCAGCAGCCGCGGUAAUACAGAGGCGGCAAGCGUUGUUCGGAAUUAUUGGGCGUAAAGAGCACGUAGGCGGCUGUGUAAGUCGGUUGUGAAAGCCUUCCGCUCAACGGAAGAACGGCAUCCGAUACUGCAUAGCUUGAGUGUGGGAGGGGAGAGUGGAACUUCUGGUGGAGCGGUGAAAUGCGUAGAUAUCAGAAGGAACACCGGCGGCGAAGGCGACUCUCUGGUCCAUAACUGACGCUGAGUGUGCGAAAGCUAGGGGAGCAAACGGGAUUAGAUACCCCGGUAGUCCUAGCCGUAAACGAUGGGCACUAAGUAGAGGGGUUUU